GGCGUGUGCCACCACUGCACAGCUUUUUUAUUUUUUAGAUUUAUUUCAUGUAUGUCAAUGGUUUCCCUGCCUGUAUGUCUCUGCACACCACGUGUAUGCGGUACCCGCAGAGGUCGGAAGAGGGUGCUGGAUGCUCUGCAGUUGGAGUUAGACUAGCUGUGAGUGACCAUGGGCUUCACCCUGCAUCCCAGUCCAGCCUCAAACUCAAGAUGCUCUGGCCUGAGGCUCAAGAGUGCUGGGCUCCGGCUGGAACAAGGGAUGCGGGUCCACUUGCCGCACGAGCGUGGCCAUCACCAAAGGUGUCUCCAGAGCCAACCAAUGACAAAAUACCCCAAAUGAAGCAUUUGAACCUUGUCUGUCUUCCCUAAAUAAUACAGCUUAUCUUGAAAAACCUUCCAGAAUAUGUGCAUAGACUCUAAGCAAACGCCAUGCCACUGUACACGAGAUCUGGGCAUCCUCGGAUUCCAAGGACUGACUGCUAUCAAGUAAAGAAGCACCCUACCUGGUCUUUGUUCCCUGUCAAAAUAACAAGACAGAAAAACAAGAAACAUACGAGGUUCAAAGCCAAAUCCAGAUUUCUCUGACACACCAUAAGGCAAGGGAGCAGCCCAAGAAUUUAUGGGUCACAUCUCUAGACACCAUACAGCAGAUUGCUCCAUAUCCCCUUAUCACCUCACAGUGCCUGCAAAUGGACAGGCAGCUCCGGGCAGAAGGCCUCCGCUGCUCUGCAGUCUUCCCACUGAUCAAGCUGAGUGAGGCAUUAGAAUAUCAGGGAAGCAAACAGAAGGCCUCAG